rnacentral:misc_RNA from 1 species
CUAAUAAUAAUAAACUUCCUAAACAAUAAAACUUCAAAUUUCCUAAUUUUAUAUUGAAUAUAACUCCUAGUUCUAAUCUUCAUUCACUGCAUCAAUAUGCCACCUUAAAUUUUUUAUUCACCCCAUAAUUUAGAGAAUGUGUUUAUCUUACCUUCCAUGAAAUACAAAUCUCUUUGUGCUUUUAUCGUGCGUUAUUGGUUUGUGGUUGAUUCUCUUUUAUUUAAUCAAGCAAAGUCUAGGUUGCUUGUAUUUCCUCUUAUCUUUUGCAAUUUCAGUGAUGAUUCUUAUUCAUCAUUUCUACUUUUCUUAAUGAU